AUGAUACCGGCGACGAGGAAAUCGAUGAUAUGGCUGCCGAAAUUUCGGAGACACAGGACGUGACGCAGGAAGUCGGAGAAGAGGAGGGCGACAAUUACGUCGAAAUUUCCUACUCACCGGUUUUACCGCAGUCGCCGGAAUAUUAGUGAGACUUCUCGAGCGAAAAAAUAUCCUCGGCUCACGAUCAUAUGAAGCAGCUAAAGUACAAAUUGGUGGUGGUGCUGUCCAGCCCUCAGA